AUGCAGGCACCCUCCAGCGCACCUAUAAGCGCGAAUGAAGGACGUGUUUUGAGGUCUAGGGUAUCAAAAGAUCAAGAUCAUGUAGAUCCUGAGCAUCAGCCUUCCAAAGAGAUUACUUGUGAGCUUGAUGAUGAAGGUAGUCAAAAGAAAGGUGGAAGAAAAAUUACUCGAAAGGCUAACAUAUAUGCAAGGCUGAAUCAACCCAAAAUCCAUAUUCCACUUAAUGGGAAUGGCCAGCCUGUUGGGCCAGAUGCAACUGAAUUUGCCAAUUUCAUUGGUACUUUGGUGAGGAAGCAUAUACCACCUGCAGAGUUAGAUUGGCGAGAUGUUGAUGUAGACAAAAAAUUGUUAGUGUGGGAGACCUUGAAGGCAUUUUAUGAGCUCGACUCAACCGCCUUGAGCUUUGUUCUCAACACUUCACACAUAAAAUGGAAGGAUUGGAAGUCGGAUUUAAAGAGGUACAAGUUUGAUGCUGCGCUGACUGAUGCACAACUUAUGAAAAGACGUGAUAGCAGAAUUAGUGAAGCUGAUUGGAAGACCCUUAUUACUUAUUGGAGAUCUUAG
rnacentral:rRNA from 1 species